UACGAAGGGGGGCUAGCGUUGCUCGGAAUCACUGGGCGUAAAGGGUGCGUAGGCGGGUCUUUAAGUCAGGGGUGAAAUCCUGGAGCUCAACUCCAGAACUGCCUUUGAUACUGAAGAUCUUGAGUUCGGGAGAGGUGAGUGGAACUGCGAGUGUAGAGGUGAAAUUCGUAGAUAUUCGCAAGAACACCAGUGGCGAAGGCGGCUCACUGGCCCGAUACUGACGCUGAGGCACGAAAGCGUGGGGGAGCAAACAGG
rnacentral:rRNA from 1 species